UUUGAGAGCAGCAGAGUGAGUCAGCUCCUCUGAUGAGUCCCCAGUUGCCAUUUUACUAAACAAGAGUAGCACUUGUGAAGCAGUGGGAGGAAAUGGAUGGUGUUUCAGCACAGGUCAGCAAGGGUUAAAGGUGAAACUCAUCAGAAAAUCCCAAACCUUACCCGUCUGGAGCUCGGACCACAGUUCUCCGGUUCCACUCUCCACCAUGAAGAUCCUGCUGUGUCUGGACCGCCGCAGCUGCUCCCUGGCUGCCACACACACAACAUAAAAGGUGCACUAAGUGGACACACCGGCCUCGAGUUGUUGAUUACGACAUACCUCCGCGCGGCUGCACACAAUCUACAAUCAACACACCUGACGCUAAUGAAAGCUCCCCUGCCUUCUUAAGCCAGCGUGUCCUGCGUUCCAGUGCCAGAACUUAGCUAGUUGUACCUGUACACAGCUCUGUGCCAUUCCCUGGUUUCGAGCUGUGUGUCUUGUCUCCCGGGAUCCCCUCUGGACUUUCUGCUGCCUUCCCGGAUCUCGACGUUUCGCCUGCCCCCGGACAACGACGCCUCGCUCCAGCCCCUGACCACUUGCCUGUCCCCGGACCUUCGACCUCAACACGCACCUCCAACGCCUCCCGGUAACACUCAACAUAUAAGCGCUUCACAUAGUCUCACUACACAUAUUUGGAGUAAUUACACACUCACACAUUUGUGCAAAUAAACACGCUGCACGUUAAACGACGUCCCUGUCUUAGUGCCGUCUCCUUCCCCACUGUACCGUUACACUCGUCUCGCCAUUCAUUCGACACAGGAUUCUUGCUCGCGUUACGCAGCUUUUUAGGUUUGUCUUUACGCUACGCCCCAGUUUUUGCCUGUUCAAUUCCAUGUUAAGUUAGCCUUAAGCUUCGCGGGAGUUUCCAAACGGCACGCUGUUUGUAAUUUUGCCUUGUUAAUUGGAUCAAAAUACUUUUUUACCUGAUGUCCUCCACAUCUUGGAAUCAC